rnacentral:rRNA from 1 species
GAUGAACGCUGGCGGCGUGCCUAAUACAUGCAAGUCGAGCGAACAGACGAGGAGCUUGCUCCUCUGACGUUAGCGGCGGACGGGUGAGUAACACGUGGAUAACCUACCUAUAAGACUGGGAUAACUACGGGAAACCGGAGCUAAUACCGGAUAAUAUAUUGAACCGCAUGGUUCAAUAGUGAAAGACGGUUUUGCUGUCACUUAUAGAUGGAUCCGCGCCGCAUUAGCUAGUUGGUAAGGUAACGGCUUACCAAGGCAACGAUGCGUAGCCGACCUGAGAGGGUGAUCGGCCACACUGGAACUGAGACGCGGUCCAGACUCCUACGGGAGGCAGCAGUAGGGAAUCUUCCGCAAUGGGCGAAAGCCUGACGGAGCAACGCCGCGUGAGUGAUGAAGGUCUUCGGAUCGUAAAACUCUGUUAUUAGGGAAGAACAAAUGUGUAAGUAACUAUGCACGUCUUGACGGUACCUAAUCAGAAAGCCACGGCUAACUACGUG